rnacentral:rRNA from 1 species
UCGAGAAUCUUCGGCAAUGGGGGCAACCCUGACCGAGCGACGCCGCGUGCGAGAUGAAGGCCUUCGGGUUGUAAAUCGCUGUCAGUGGGGAGGAAAUGCCGGUGGGUUCUCCCAUCGGUUUGACCUAUCCGCAGAGGAAGGACGGGCUAAGUUCGUGCCAGCAGCCGCGGUAAGACGAACCGUCCAAACGUUAUUCGGAAUCACUGGGCUUAAAGGGUGCGUAGGCGGUCCGGCAAGUUGGGCGUGAAAGCCCUCGGCUCAACCGAGGAAUUGCGUUCAAAACUGCCGGGCUGGAGGGAGACAUAGGUGAGCGGAACUUAGGGUGGAGCGGUGAAAUGCGUUGAGAUCCUAAGGAACACCAGUAGCGAAAGCGGCUCACUGGGUCUCUUCUGACGCUGAGUGCACGAAAGCUAGGGGAGCGAAGAG